GACGAACGCUGGCGGCGUGCUUAACACAUGCAAGUCGAACGGAAAGGCCCUGCUUUUGUGGGGUGCUCGAGUGGCGAACGGGUGAGUAACACGUGAGUAACCUGCCCUUGACUUUGGGAUAACUUCAGGAAACUGGGGCUAAUACCGGAUAGGAGCUCCUGCUGCAUGGUGGGGGUUGGAAAGUUUCGGCGGUUGGGGAUGGACUCGCGGCUUAUCAGCUUGUUGGUGGGGUAGUGGCUUACCAAGGCUUUGACGGGUAGCCGGCCUGAGAGGGUGGCCGGCCACAUUGGGACUGAGAUACGGCCCAGACUCCUACGGGGGACAGCAGUGGGGAAUAUUGCACAAUGGGCGGAAGCCUGAUGCAGCAACGCCGCGUGCGGGAUGACGGCCUUCGGGUUGUAAACCGCUUUCGCCUGUGACGAAGCGUGAGUGACGGUAAUGGGUAAAGAAGCACCGGCUAACUACGUG
rnacentral:rRNA from 1 species